rnacentral:rRNA from 1 species
UACGGAGGGCGCAAGCGUUGUUCGGAAUCAUUGGGCGUAAAGCGCGUGUAGGUGGCUUGGCAAGUUGGGUGUGAAAGCCCGGGGCCCAACCCCGGAAUUGCAUUCAAAACUGCCUGGCUGGAGUCCCGGAGAGGAAGGCGGAAUUCCCGGUGUAGAGGUGAAAUUCGUAGAUAUCGGGAGGAACACCAGUGGCGAAGGCGGCCUUCUGGACGGUGACUGACACUGAUACGCGAAAGCGUGGGGAGCAAACAGG